rnacentral:rRNA from 1 species
GUGGGGAAUCUUGCGCAAUGGGCGAAAGCCUGACGCAGCCAUGCCGCGUGGAUGAUGAAGGUCUUAGGAUUGUAAAAUCCUUUCACCGGUGAAGAUAAUGACUGUAGCCGGAGAAGAAGCCCCGGCUAACUUCGUGCCAGCAGCCGCGGUAAUACGAAGGGGGCUAGCGUUGCUCGGAUUUACUGGGCGUAAAGGGCGCGUAGGCGGACAUUUAAGUCAGGGGUGAAAUCCCGGGGCUCAACCUCGGAACUGCCGUUGAUACUGGGUGUCUUGAGUAUGAGAGAGGUGUGUGGAACUCCGAGUGUAGAGGUGAAAUUCGUAGAUAUUCGGAAGAACACCAGUGGCGAAGGCGACACACUGGCUCAUUACUGACGCUGAGGCGCGAAAGCGUGGGGAGCAAACAGGAUUAGAUACCCCGGUAGUC